AGUUAGUAACUUUCAAAACUGU
rnacentral:snRNA from 1 species